UAUUUCUUUUACUUUUUCACAAUAUGUAUGUCGGAUGGUGUGUGCAUGUGUAUCAGUAAACAUUAAUUAAGAAAGUUACAUAUAUCUACCCAAAACAACAGCUUGGCCCAGUAGCCUGGUGGUAAAGUACAGAUUAAUUAUAGAUCAACCUUUUGUAUUUACAAUAAAUAUUUUUGUAGUUAAUUAAGAAUAAUAAUAAUGUUUAAUUAAUCAAUAACAUAUUUUUAAUUCUGGAGUUGGGUUAGGUUGAAUUUAGCCAACUGGAGACAGCAAUGGGGGGGAUUCAUUAGCGUGUGGGAGACCGCAACUUCUCAUAUAGGACGCAGGCUGAAUUAUUAGCUAAUUUUUAAGACAAAAAGUGCGUCUUAUAUGCCGUAAGAUGCGGUACAUACAACACUUAAUUUCUAGAUGGUUAUUCAAAGGUAAAAUUAUUUAUUCUCUUGUUCAUUCUUUCCUAUUAUUUUCAUUUGAUUUGAUUUGAUUUGCUAUAUAGUGUAGGAUGCCACUGCAUAUAGUUAAAAGAAACGCUAAUCAGGUUUAUUUUUUCAGUAAAAGUAUGUUGUGAAAUCUCUCAAGUCAGUUUUGGAGAGAAAGUAUUUCAUUUAUAGCUGACUGUUAUAUUUUUAAAUUUGUUAUAAAUGCAGUGCACAAUUACAGUAUAGGCAAUCCCAGAUACCUUUUAUUUUUGCAAUUUGCUCUUAUGUGAAUUGCAUCGCCCAUGAAUUUCAAUUUUUUUUCUGUAUAAUAUGUAAAAAGCCAAUUCUAAUACACAAGGCAAGAUUUAGUAUAGUACAGUAUUCCAAGGUCUGUAUCCCCACAUACUGGUAUCAAACAAAAAGUAAGGCCUUAGUGUGGAAUGGGAAUACAGUACCACAGUAGAGCACAUCUGGCAAGACAGUAUAAGUAGAGGUUGAAUAAGAGCAAAAGAGAGGAGAGGCUGGUGCUGCUCUUGGUUAUGGUCACUCUACACCAAAGUGAAAAGGACUCGGUAAGGAGAAGCUGAUUUAAACAACUGGUUGUGAGUUCCAAACACUGUACUGUAGGUUGAAAUAUGUCUGAUAAAGCUUGAGUCACCCAUGGAGGUCGUGGUUAUUAGAUAAACAUGCAGGUAUAAGAAUAAUAACGUGCAUACAGUAGUCUUUAAUUAAUAUUUAUAUAAAAUGUAUGAUUAAUGUGUAGUUUUUUUGAAAUACUAUAUAAGAUACAGUAUUUAAUUUCUGUGUACCUGAAAUUGGAACUUUCACAUGCUCUCAGUUUUGUAAGCACUUUCAAAUGCUCUUAUUUUCAUAGCUGGGUACACAGUUUAUUAAAGAGAAAUAAAAAGGACUGAUGUACCCAGUGGUAUUAGUGUCUACUGGAGGUAAGUUGAACCAUGAAAUAUUUGGGUCAGAAAAUUAAAUACAGUACGUACUGUAUUGCUUUUAAAUGAGAAUAGGUAAGGCUUCAAAAUUAUGAAUCAUGUCAUAAUGACAAUGAUGGUAUGCAUUAAAGGAUUCACAAUUUUAAUUUUUUGUAUUGAUUGUCUAUCUAUCUACAACUAUGUGUUUUCAUAAUUGUAUUUGGGUCUGUCUUGUACCUUUUAAGUUGUAUUUCAUAGAUGAAAUUGAAUUUACCAAAACCUAUACAAAAUCUACCCUGAAGCUGGUUGGGCUAUAAGGAUCAACCCCAAAGAACAAUAUGUAAUCACAUUAAAAACUAAUUGAUGCAGUUACAAUUUGGCAAAUUUAGUUACUAAAUGUGGUAAAUUGGAAUUCUAGUUACAUUGGACAAAAUAUCAUUAUGUUUUUUACAGUUCAUAGAUGAAUACUGUACAUUAUAUUAUUUAUGACCUAAACUUUAUAAUUUUCAAGGACUCAUGAGAAAGAUAUAGUACAUUAUUACAGUAUUGCUUUAGUUACCUUAUAUUGUCAAUACUAAACUGUUAAAUAACACUGGUGCUACAAAAGAUUGUUGGUUGUGCAUAUGAUGACUGUUGAAGUGCAUAUAAUAUUCUAGGAUUGAUUGUAAUAUUAGCAGAAUUAUGGAUGUCACAUGAUUAGAAUUUGUCAAUUUAAUCAUUGAAGAAAAAGAUUCAGAAUAAGUGUGAUGAAUUUUUUAAAAGGUUUUCUUUGUGAAGCAAAUUUGCCUCCCACUUAUAAAUGCAGUGUUAAAAAGCUUGUGAAAAUUUUAUGUUAUACUGUUAAUAAAUUGGAUUUUAUCAUUAGUAAAUGAACAGUAUACUCUUAUGAAUGAGUGUACUUGUUGGUACCAGCAGACAAUGAAGUAUCUUGCCAGCAGUGAAUGAAGAUACUAUAACUAGUGAGUGAAUGGCUUGUGUCCCCUUUACUGUAGAAGUGUUUCAUGAUUCAAUACCCGGUAAUAGUAAAGAAAAAUUGCAGGUUUUCAGGCAUUAAGGCAUGAUUAGAUAAAGUGAUAGAUGAUGGAUAGAAUGUUGAAUUUGGAAGGAAUUGGGUUUCAUAUUUAAAUAUUUUGCCAAUAUUGUUUUAAAUGUACAGUACUAAAGAACUGAAGGCAGUUGUCUCAUUAUAUCUAGAUGAAAUUUAAUUGAUUGACAUUGCUAAUUUUGUUGUCACUGUUCUCUAUCUUUUUCAUCAGUUCUGACUGUUAUUUUUAAAACUUCUAUAUUCUCAUAAUACAAAUGCCAGAUGUAUUUUAAGUUUUUAUAUGAGUAGCCCAAUGUUAGAAUGAGAUAAGCGCUGCUUAAAACGAAAAGAAAAAUCACAUCCAAAGUUGCGCUACAGUAAAAUUUAUGCCACAACAAAACAUAUAUUUAAUUGUUUUAUAAGAAGUUGUGUACACUUUCUUGACAUAAUAUAAUAAAUGCAUCAUUAACUUCACAAAAAUACAGUACUGUAGUACAGUAUAGGUAUCCCUUGUUUAACGAUCGGUCAUUUAGCAAUUUUUCGGUUUAGCAAUUACAAAUUUAUAACACCCUUUCUCAUUUAACAAUCCUCAAAUUUCGGUUUAGUGAUCUUCGACUCAUUGGGAAAAAUUCGGGAGGGAAGUCGAAAAAACUGGGGAUUCUGUGCUCCAUGUGCACAUCAUUAAAAUACUGUAAUGUGGCCUAGAAAUAAAGAAAAUACUGUGCUGUAUACUAUAAAAUAAGAAAAAUUAAGAGCAUGGGUGUGUAUGUGUGGGAAGUAACAUAUGUAUUGAAGCAGUGAGCUGUAACUGUGGCCAGCUGCACUUUCCCUCCCCCUAUGUGACAUCACGGCAUACAGGCAGCUGCCACAGCUACCACAUGCAUCUCUUAACGAGUCAACUUGGUGCCUGCCCGGAUGAACUGUUGCAUGUAUAAUGUACCAAAUAGCUUCUUCCACAAGCAAACCAUCUUCAAGCCAUGUGACACUGAUCAACUGCUCAGCCUGGCAUUUACCAAGGACAGGCAUUGCCUCGGAAUACUGCGAGUUUAGUGCAUCGCUUUUUCAAAGCAGUGACAAUGCAGGUAAGACAUUCGGGUAACGACCAUCAUAAAUCUGAUCUUGGCCAUUUUAGCGGUAUUUAGUGCUAAUUCUUUAACAUCGUAAAACUGGAUGCACAUCAAUAAAUUCCGGAUCACAUUUAGGAAGGCUGUCUGGUCCUUCAUCUUCACAUGGGUCUGAUAAAAGUGAGAACUGAGAAGUGGAGGUGGUAGGGGGGAGGGGCUGGGGAAGGAAGUGGUGAACCACUGCUGGCCAAUAGCAUAGCAGAUGUGUUGCUACUACUCCAGUGUGUAUAUAUGGGAGUAUAUAUACAGUAUACAGUAUAUAUAUAUAUGCAGUUCUGGUAUGGUACAACUACAGUAUUAAUAUAACUUACAUAGUUAAAUUAAUAAUUUUACAUUUCUUGGAUGUAUGGAAGUUACUACUACCCAGUUAUAUCUUUACACCUUAAUUCCAUGAUUUAAAAAUCACUGUUCUGCACGUGGAACCUCCAGUAUUCAACCUACCAUAUAUGCAGCUAAGGUCCAAGAAAAUAUUUACAGUAAACUAUUUUAUGUUAAUGAUAUUUGUAUCAGAUGCUUUGAAAUCUGUUUGGUAGAGUAGUGUAUCCUAAUAUGCAUUUUUGUCUGUUUAGACAUGUAGUCUCUACUUUGUCAUCUUAGGAAUAUGUUUACCUGCAGUGGAUUAUCAUAGUUCUAUAUACAGUGCAGUAUUAAUGUUUUUAUAAGAUGAAUAUGCUGUUUUUUUUAUAUUAUUAUUAUUAUUAAUAUUAUUAUUGUACAAUACUGCACUACCAAGAUUUUAUUUUGUUAUCGAUAUCGAGUGGUGUUUCAACGACUUAAAGUACCUUGUGGGUCUUAUAAUUUAUUAAGUACAAUAUUGCUUUUUCAUUUUUAUUUAAGUUUUUAUUUUGUCCUGUAGGUACAGAAAAGUACAUACAGGACUGCACUGUACUAUAUAUUUAACCUGGAAUUGUGUUUUGCAUACAGUACCAGAUAAUGAAAAGAAAAGACUCAGAGCUGGAACCUUUAUCUGUACUGAUGCAUUGUCUUCAGACUCACAUUCCACAUCCAUUUAUGUUUACUAAUUCUGAUUAGAUGAUAGAAUCUUUACUAUAGACAGCAUUGCCAGACUUUUAGAGAAAAUAACUAUAAUAAUACAAAAAAAAAAGAAUAAACUUUAAUGUACUU